CUGGUGAGGACACAUCAGCAUCCAUGUCACAAAUUCGGGCUUUAUCCUUCUGACACGUGUCCGCUAAAUGAAACGAGGCGGAUCAUCACUUGGCUUCGGGUCUUCCGUUUUGGGCUUGAUCUCAUGUUUUGUUCGCGUCGAGAGAUAACCUAGCUAUGCGCAAACCCUAAAGCACAUGAUGAACGCGAUUCUUCGAUCUAAAGGAGACGGAUCUGCUUAAAUCGGUGUGACGGUUCGGUUCGUUGAGGGUUUCGAUCAAGUCCUUACACCUUUUUCCAUCAAUCGAACAUUAAAGGCAUAAAUAAUCAAUCUUCAGGAAGAUCGUCAAAGGAUUCUGUAGGUUCGAUCACAGCAGACGCAGCAGCUUCGAUCACAGCAGUCGUUCUCACAGGGACAUUUGUCUUACUCUCAGCGUGGUUGUUUUUCUCAGAGGACUCAGGGUUCAGUCAAAGAACUCCUAAUAAGCCAUCAGAUAUUUAAUUCCCAAGAACGAGAUCACUCUUUGAAGAUGGUUAGUUGCUACUUAAUAAACAAUGUGUUUCAGGAUAACCUUUGAGUUUAACGAUAUAGCUUGAGGAAUACAUUCCAUUUUUGUCACUGGCUGUCCCCUAAUAUGAUUCACCUUUUUCUGCAUUUCGUCACUGUGAGUACCUAACCCAAUGAAGAAUUUGAGCAACGCUUUCGGAUGAUGGAAACUUCAUUGAAGUUGAAUGAUCAAAAGGCCAACAUUGAACCUGAUGGGUUCAAAUGAUGAUGAGGAUGACUUGGAAAUGGAAGAGGAAACACCUUAAAGGAAUAAAGAGUGGAACCACCGAGCAAGAGACUCAAUGGUGGAGCAAUAAACAGCAUCGUCAAAGAAUCCAAGGAUAGAAGUCAGCAUAAGCCGUCAGGUGAAUAUGAACAGUUGGAUUAAUGUUUGGUUACAAACUAACUUGGUUCAGGAAGGAAUACGUGCACAAGUGCGGCAGUGUUCGUCCUCCAAAAAGAUACUAGAGAACGGGCCAAGUCACAUUUUUCAUAGAAGUUUAAUACUUUUUUCUAUUGUUGAAUUGUUGAGUGGGUGAGGAUUUGGGUUUUAGAAGGCUACAUAUCUCGGAUUCAAUAUUUUGUUUAACUGAAUUGAGUUAUCAAGGGAUGUGCUUUACAGUU